rnacentral:rRNA from 1 species
UACAGAGGAUGCAAGCGUUAUCCGGAAUGAUUGGGCGUAAAGCGUCUGUAGGUGGCUUUUUAAGUCCGCCGUCAAAUCCCAGGGCUCAACUCUGGACAGGCGGUGGAAACUACCAAGCUGGAAUACGGUAGGGGCAAAGGGAAUUUCCGGUGAAACGGUGAAAUGCGUAGAGAUCGGAAAGAACACCAACGGCGAAAGCACUCUGCUGGGCCGACACUGACACUGAGAGACGAAAGCUAGGGGAGCGAAUGGG